rnacentral:lncRNA from 1 species
GAACAUCUGAACGGGUAAAGGCUUCACAGCCUUGAAAAGCUAUGGCUGACGGGGACUAUAAGAGGGAUCUAUAAAAUCCUGGAUGUCAUGGAGAGGACUGUGUUAAGAGGCAUGAAUCAUUCAGUUCCAUUUACCAAAAGGGCUUUGCUCCUGGAUUUUGUUUCUGUGGAUAUUUGCAGCAGCUACCUCCUGAGCUGCUCCAAGUGGCAGCCAUCUGGAGGAGAAUGCUGCUGCAGCUGCAGUCCUGGUAUUGUGUGCAGGAGCAGGGAGGCUGCCAGCAUUGAGCUCCUUUCUAGGACAAAAACCAUGGUUUCAGGUGUGGAUGCAGCAUGUGCCCCUCUCCUCCUGCUCGCAGCGCUCCCAGAGCAUGGGCAGCCGACCUCACCCCCACGGGGCUGCCUGGGCACCUCCAGCUCAGCCCCGUUCAGUUUGUCUGCUCCUGGCCACUUACGAGAAGCGAUUUAACCCCCAAAUAGUAAUGAUGGAAAAUCAGAUCCUACUUGAGGAUCUAAAGGUAGGCGGGUGGGACUUCACAGCAUGACAGCAGGGCAAGG